UAUUGACGCAACCAUUGACGAUUGCAUAAUUUGUAUGCAAUUUAAUUUCAGAAGAUAGGAUGUUCAUCGAAAACGAUUAAUACCGACAUAUAUUCGUUAUUGAAGUGCUAGUUACGGAGUGUGCUGUAUUUACCCGUAAAUGUGUCAUUAAAGUUGUGACGCAUUAACCAGUUCAAACCUUCGAAACAGCGUCAAUUGCAAUGAGAAAUCAAUGUACUUGUAUCAGUUAUGAUAUUUUGUUUCUAAUAAAAUUGUGUUUAAGCGAAUUAGGAAACCACGGCUCAGUUGCUCCGUUAAAAACAGGAAUCGUUUCGUCUUCGUACUGAUGUUAAAAUCAAUGAAUUUUUCAUAAAUCUGCCUGCUUUCGUCGUUAAUUCAUCCUUUUGAGGCGAAGAACUUAACAACUUUAAACAGCAACGGAUAGAAGGGGAAACAAAGGGAAUAUUGCAACAC